rnacentral:tRNA from 1 species
GGGGGCGUAGUUCAGCUGGUUUAGAACGCUGCCCUGUCACGGCAGAGGUCGCGGGUUCGAAUCCCGUCGCUCCCGCCA